ACACGAGAGAGGAGGUGAUCCGAGAGUGAUUUCUUUUCGGAUGCGUGAGGUGACUGCGGGCUGAGGCCUGUCGUCACAUGACGGCAGGCCUCCUGCCGUACACCCCAGCAGUCACCGGCCCGCGGGCUCGUCGGCACAUCCGGCCGACCUCUCCUUGCUAGCAGGAGAGAGCAGAGCCCGCGGGCUUCUGCGU
rnacentral:sRNA from 1 species